rnacentral:rRNA from 1 species
AUACGUAGGGCGAGAGCGUUGUCCGGAAUUACUGGGUGUCAAGGGCGCGUAGGCGGGACUGCAAGUUAGAUGUGAAAUGCCGGGGCUCAACCCCGGAGCUGCAUUUGAAACUGCGGUUAUUGAGUGAGGAAGAGGUAAGCGGAAUUCCUAUUGUAGCGGUGAAAUGCGUAGAUAUUAGGAGGAACAUCGGUGGCGAAGGCGGCUUACUGGGCCUUUACUGACGCUGAGGCACGAAAGCGUGGGUAGCAAACAGGAUUAGAUACCCUGGUAGUCCACGCUGUAAACGAUGAUGACUAGGUGUGGGGGGACUGAACCCUUCCGUGCCGCAGUUAACACAAUAAGUCAUCCACCUGGGGAGUACGGCCGCAAGGUUGAAACUCAAAUGAAUUGACGGGG